rnacentral:rRNA from 1 species
CCUACGGGUGGCAGCAGUGGGGAAUAUUGGGCAAUGGGCGCAAGCCUGACCCAGCAACGCCGCGUGAAGGAAGAAGGCUUUCGGGUUGUAAACUUCUUUUCUGAGGGACGAAGAACGUGACGGUACCUCAGGAAUAAGCCACGGCUAACUACGUGCCAGCAGCCGCGGUACUACGUAGGUGGCAAGCGUUCUCCGGAUUUAUUGGGUGUAAAGGGCGUGUAGGCGGGAAAGCAAGUCAGAGGUGAAAACUCAGGGCUCAACCCUGAGCCUGCAUUUGAAACUGUUUGUCUUGAGUGCUGGAGAGGCGAUCGGAAUUCCGUGUGUAGCGGUGAAAUGCGUAGAUAUACGGAGGAACACCAGUGGCGAAGGCGGAUUGCUGGACAGUAACUGACGCUGAGGCGCGAAAGCGUGGGGAGCAAACAGGAUUAGAUACCCGAGUAGUC